GACGAACGCUGGCGGCGUGCCUAAUACAUGCAAGUAGAACGCACAGUUUAUACCGUAGCUUGCUACACCAUAGACUGUGAGUUGCGAACGGGUGAGUAACGCGUAGGUAACCUGCCUGGUAGCGGGGGAUAACUAUUGGAAACGAUAGCUAAUACCGCAUAAUAUUGAUUAUUGCAUGAUAAUUGAUUGAAAGAUGCUAUUGCAUCACUACCAGAUGGACCUGCGUUGUAUUAGCUAGUAGGUGAGGUAACGGCUCACCUAGGCGACGAUACAUAGCCGACCUGGGAGGGUGAUCGGCCACACUAGGACUGGGACACGGCCCAGACUCCUACGGGAGGCAGCAGUAGGGAAUCUUCGGCAAUGGACGAAAGUCUGACCGAGCAACGCCGCGUGAGUGAAGAAGGUUUUCGGAUCGUAAAGCUCUGUUGUAAGAGAAGAACGGGUGUGAGAGUGGAAAGUUCACACUGUGACGGUAUCUUACCAGAAAGGGACGGCUAACUACGUG
rnacentral:rRNA from 1 species